rnacentral:rRNA from 1 species
GACGUAGGGCGCGAGCGUUGUCCGGAUUUAUUGGGCGUAAAGGGCUCGUAGGCGGCUUGUCGCGUCGUCCGUGAAAACCUGGGGCUCAACCCCAGGCUUGCGGUCGAUACGGGCAGGCUCGAGUUCGGUAGGGGAGACUGGAAUUCCUGGUGUAGCGGUGAAAUGCGCAGAUAUCAGGAGGAACACCGGUGGCGAAGGCGGGUCUCUGGGCCGUAACUGACGCUGAGGAGCGAAAGCAUGGGGAGCAAACAGG